rnacentral:rRNA from 2 species
UGGGGAAUAUUGGGCAAUGGGGGAAACCCUGACCCAGCGACGCCGCGUGGAGGAAGGAGCCCUUCGGGGUGUAAACUCCUGUUGUAAGGGAAGAAGACAGUGACGGUACCUUACGAGGAAGCCCCGGCAAACUACGUGCCAGCAGCCGCGGUAACACGUAGGGGGCGAGCGUUGUCCGGAAUUACUGGGCGUAAAGCGCACGCAGGCGGAUGCGCGCGUCGGCUGUGAAAUGCACCGGCUCAACCGGUGCACUGCGGUCGAUACGGCGCAUCUGGAGUGCGGGAGAGGGAAGCGGAAUUCCCGGUGUAGCGGUGAAAUGCGUAGAUAUCGGGAGGAACGCCGGUGGCGAAGGCGGCUUCCAGGCCCGCAACUGACGUUGAUGCGCGAAAGCGUGGGGAGCGAACAGG